rnacentral:rRNA from 1 species
UACGAAGGGGGCUAGCGUUGCUCGGAAUCACUGGGCGUAAAGCGCACGUAGGCGGAUUGUUAAGUCAGGGGUGAAAUCCUGGAGCUCAACUCCAGAACUGCCUUUGAUACUGGCGAUCUUGAGUCCGGGAGAGGUGAGUGGAACUGCGAGUGUAGAGGUGAAAUUCGUAGAUAUUCGCAAGAACACCAGUGGCGAAGGCGGCUCACUGGCCCGGUACUGACGCUGAGGUGCGAAAGCGUGGGGAGCGAUCCGG